AGCAGCCGCGGUAAUUCCAGCUCCAAUAGCGUAUAUUAAAGUUGUUGCAGUUAAAAAGACUCGUAGUUGAAUUUCGGGGUUAGUAGGUUGGUCAUGCCUCUGGUAUGUACUGGUCUCACUGAUUCCUCCUUCCUGAUGAACCUUAAUGCCAUUAAUUUGGUGUUUUGGGGAAUUUGGACUGUUACUUUGAAAAAAUUAGAGUGUUUAAAGCAAGCUAACGCUUGAAUACAUUAGCAUGGAAUAAUGAAAUAGGACGUUCGAUCCUAUUUUGUUGGUUUCUAGGAUUGACGUAAUGAUUAAUAGGGAUAGUUGGGGGCAUUAGUAUUCAAUUGUCAGAGUGAAAUUUUUGGAUUUAUUGAAGACUAACUACUGCGAAAGCAUUUGCCAAGGAUGUUUUCAUUAAUCAAGAACGAAAGUUAGGGGAUCGAAGACGAUCAGAUACCGUCGUAGUCUUAAACCAUAAACUAUGCCGACUAGGGAUCGGAUGAUGUUAAUUUUUUAAUGACUCAUUCGGCGCCUU
rnacentral:rRNA from 1 species